CCGCGAGUCCCCGGUGAUCCCGCGCCGCAUGGACAGUCACGGCUGAUUUUUACACUGCUGAUAGACGAGAGAACUUCAUAACUAUCUGUCUUACUUUUACAAGAUCUCUCACGUCCUACACAAGCUGACAGGAGGGGUGUGCUACGAGUGCUUCCUGAAUGUGGUUUACAUAUUUAAAUUCUAUACUUUCUAUGUUGCUGUUGUCUUUGUUGUCUAGUGCUGAGACAUUCUGAUGAGUGGGUGCCGUCUGACAGAUUCAGGCUUACAGGUUUGGACUCCCUCUGUGGGUAGAGGGACACCCACUUCUGCCCCUGCAUGUUUAACCAGGCGCAUCGCGAAGAGCCGUCUGUUAUACUCGUGUAAAUACGUUAAAUGGGCAGUGUGUGCAUUAACUGGUACAGAUACCUUUUCCCAACUUUUUUAAAGUCACUGAAAGAAGAUAUUACAAGGUGUUUGUCUGUAGUCUUUGUAAAAUGUGAAAAUUUUUGGCUUUUUCCAUUUUUUUUUUUUUUUUUUUUUUUAUAAAGGCUUUUAUGGACCCAAAGACAGCUGAUCUAGUUUACAGCAUCUUCUGUUGAGUAAUAUCCCAGAGUUAAGACAGAAAAUAAUACAAAAUAAACCGAAAACCUAAUAAAAAUGUUAAUAUAG